rnacentral:misc_RNA from 1 species
UCUCCGUAGGUGAACCUGCGGAGGGAUCAUUACAGAGUUCAUGCCCUACCGGGUAGAUCUCCCACCCUAUGUUAUUAUUACUUUGUUGCUUUGGCGGGCCGUUAGGCUCCGGCCCGACUACCGGCCCCGGCUGGUAAGCGCCCGCCAGAGGACCCAAAACCCUGAAUUUUAGUGUCGUCUGAGUACUAUAUAAUAGUUAAAACUUUCAACAACGGAUCUCUUGGUUCUGGCAUCGAUGAAGGACGCAGC